ACUGCUCUGAAAACACUGUAUCUCUUCUGAUAUGUCUGAAGCUAAGCACAGUUGGACCUGGUUAGUACUUGGAUGAUAGAUUUAUGUAUUCUAUGUCCUUCUAAUGGAGAUGCAGGGU
ensembl:rRNA 5S_rRNA 5S ribosomal RNA